CAUGCAAGUCGUGCGAGAAAGUAUCCUCGGAUAUGAGUAGAGCGGCGGACGGGUGAGUAACGCGUUGGAAUCUACCUAGUAGAAGGGGAUAGCCCGAGGAAACUCGGAUUAAUACCGUAUACCUCCUUCGGGAGAAAGAAGGCCUCUCUUUGAAGCUUUCGCUACUAGAUGAGCCUGCGUAAGAUUAGCUUGUUGGUGAGGUAAAGGCUCACCAAGGCGACGAUCUUUAGCGGGUCUGAGAGGACGAUCCGCCACAUUGGGACUGAGACACGGCCCAGACUCCUACGGGAGGCAGCAGUGGGGAAUAUUGGACAAUGGGCGCAAGCCUGAUCCAGCCAUACCGCGUGUGUGAAGAAGGCCCUAGGGUUGUAAAGCACUUUAAGUUGGGAAGAAAAGUUAUUGAUUAAUACCCAAUAACCGUGACAUUACCAUCAGAAUAAGGGCCGGCUAAUUCCGUGCCAGCAGCCGCGGUAAUACGGAAGGUCCAAGCGUUAAUCGGAAUUACUGGGCGUAAAGCGCGGGUAGGUGGUUUAUUAAGUUGGAUGUGAAAUCCCCGGGCUCAACCUGGGAACUGCAUCCAAAACUGAUUCACUAGAGUACGAUAGAGGGAGGUAGAAUUCACAGUGUAGCGGUGGAAUGCGUAGAUAUUGUGAAGAAUACCAAUGGCGAAGGCAGCCUCCUGGAUCUGUACUGACA
rnacentral:rRNA from 1 species